UCUUCCGUAGUAUAGUGGUCAGUAUGUGAGCUUGUCAUCAAACCGCCCCUGGUUCCGAUUCGCUCGAGACCCGGGUUCAAUUCCCGGCGGGAGAG